rnacentral:rRNA from 1 species
UACAUAGGGAGCAAGCGUUAUCCGGAAUUAUUGGGUGUAAAGGGUGCGUAGACGGAGGAACAAGUUAGUCGUGAAAUCCCUCGGCUUAACUGAGGAACUGCAACUAAAACUAUUCCCCUUGAGUGUCGGAGAGGAAAGUGGAAUUCCUAGUGUAGCGGUGAAAUGCGUAGAUAUUAGGAGGAACACCAGUGGCGAAGGCGACUUUCUGGACGAUAACUGACGUUGAGGCACGAAAGUGUGGGGAGCAAACAGG